UGAUGUUGGAAUGGUCAAAAAUCAUC
rnacentral:piRNA from 1 species